rnacentral:ncRNA from 1 species
GAUCAUAGCAAACUUAUCGAAAGAUAAGGACGCAAAGCCAAGGGUCUACGGUUUUAUACUAUGACAGCCGGUUGCCGC